GAAGAAAUGGCGUAGGUCAGGCAAAGAAAUAAGAAAUGGCUAGUUGUUGAAGUACCGGUUGGGUUUGGCCGGUCAGGUUGCGUUUUCCGGUUUUUUUUUUUUUUUUUUUUGGUCUUUGUUGGUUAGGCUGAUUAGGGUUUUGAGUUUGGGAAGAAGAGGGGAUUUGGAUUUGGAGUUUGGGUUUUAUUUUUUUUGGUUUGGCUGAUUGGGGAUGCUGGUUUUGUUUUUCUGGUUUUUUCUGAAUGAAGAAAAGAGGAAGAAGAUCAAAAUCAAAGAGGGUUUGGGAGAAAGAGAGAAGAAACGGCUGGUGAUACUGGGUUUGGGUCGGGUCAAACUGGUUUGAGGCGAGACCCACGGUGUCGAGGGAAAGUCUUGGGAUUUUCUCUUUCUUUGCACCUUCUUCUUCAUCAUAUUCUUCUUAUAUAUUCUCUGCUUGUUAUUGUAUCUUAUAUUGUCUUCAAUUAGUUAAAUCAAGUUCUGGUCAGAGCUUUGGACCCAAGAAAAUGAAGAGAAAAGGAAUUUGGAGUAUUUCAGAGAGAAGAGCGUUUUAGAGAGAAGAAGAAGAGAAAUCGGAAUCCAUUCGAUUUAUUAAAGUGAAGAGGAAUUUAUUAGGUGUUUUAGUUUUAUUGUGUACUUGUGUAAUAAGGUGAUGUGUCACUCAACUAUUGGAUGCUGCAAAAAGCAUUGUUUGUAGAUGGACCGCAUAGUAGGGGCAUUCUUUCUUUUUUCACUC